rnacentral:lncRNA from 1 species
GCAGUAGCCACUGGAUUUGCAGCAGAAACACUCUGCUACAGAACAAGUGUCUUGGUUCACAGCAAAGAGGACAAAGAAAACAGCAAGUUUUAGGGGGUUGAAUCCUGGAUUCCCCUGGCAAACACCAUUCUACUUUCCGUCUCUAUGAAUUUGACUACUCGAAGUACCUCAUGUGAAAUGUUGGUGCCAAAUGAACUUUUCUGGUUCUUCUGAAUAGACCCACAAAAGAAGAGAUACUGAGAUCAUUUGCUCCAGAAGAAGCUGGUUGCCAUGUCUUGAGGACAGUAAACCCUCUGGGGAGGUUCCUGUGGUAAGGAACAAGGGCUCCUGGCAAUAGCCUCUGAGUGAGCCACCUUGAAAAUGGAUUGUCCAGCCCCAGUCAAGCUUUCAGAUGACUGUAGCUCCUGCCAAUGUCUUCACCACAACCUCAUGAGAUCCCAAGCUACAACCACUCAGAACUUCAUCUUUUGGGAAGCACCAGGGAGAGCUGCCUGUGCCUGGCAGAAGCUGCCCAUGCCCCACUGAUACCCCACAGUACUUCCUGUUCUGCUUAGUACUCCUGCUUCUUUCUACAAACAACUGUGAUUCUCUACCUGGGAGCUUCCUCUGGCCACAGGAGCCUGCUCACCUGAUUGGGACACCCUAGCAGUACUGAAUGAAGUGCAUUCAGAUUCGAUGUGUAUCCUGUCUCUGGGAAGCCCCAUGCUCUGCUCAUCUUAGCAUGAUUACUAAGGUACACUCUGCCCUUGCAAGGGGAAGGCCCGAGAUUUGCUGCUGGCAGGCUCAGUGGGAGUUGGAUGUUUUAUGUAACCUGAUUGUGGAUAUAGAUCAAUUCAUGCUUUUCAAUUCAGUCCUCUCUCUAAUAAACUGCUGUCAUAAGCCCCA